AGGACUAACGCUGGCGGCGUGCCUAACACAUGCAAGUCGAACGAGGGGUAGCAAUACCCCUAGUGGCAGACGGGUGAGUAACACGUAGUCAACCUACCUCUUAAUGGGGGAUAACUAGCCGAAAGGUUAGCUAAUACCGCAUACGAUCGUCGAGUGGCAUCACACGACGAUGAAAGGAGCAAUCCGUUGAGAGAGGGGACUGCGUCCCAUUAGUUAGUUGGUGGGGUAAUGGCCUACCGAGACUCCGAUGGGUAGCUGGCUUGAGAGAGCGACCAGCCACACUGGAACUGAGACACGGUCCAGACUCCUACGGGAGGCAGCAGUGAGGAAUUUUCCGCAAUGGGGGAAACCCUGACGGAGCGACGCCGCGUGUGGGAAGAAGGCCUUCGGGUCGUAAACCACUGUCGAGGGGGACGAUAUUGACGGUACCCCUGGAGGAAGCCCCGGCUAACUACGUGCCAGCAGCCGC
rnacentral:rRNA from 1 species